rnacentral:rRNA from 1 species
GAUGAACGCUGGCGGCGUGCCUAAUACAUGCAAGUCGAGCGAAUGGAUUAAGAGCUUGCUCUUAUGAAGUUAGCGGCGGACGGGUGAGUAACACGUGGGUAACCUGCCCAUAAGACUGGGAUAACUCCGGGAAACCGGGGCUAAUACCGGAUAACAUUUUGAACCGCAUGGUUCGAAAUUGAAAGGCGGCUUCGGCUGUCACUUAUGGAUGGACCCGCGUCGCAUUAGCUAGUUGGUGAGGUAACGGCUCACCAAGGCAACGAUGCGUAGCCGACCUGAGAGGGUGAUCGGCCACACUGGGACUGAGACACGGCCCAGACUCCUACGGGAGGCAGCAGUAGGGAAUCUUCCGCAAUGGACGAAAGGCUGACGGAGCAACGCCGCGUGAGUGAGGAAGGCUUUUGGGUCGUAAAACUCUGUUGUUAGGGAAGAACAAGUGCUAGUUGAAUAAGCUGGCACCUUGACGGUACCUAACCAGAAAGCCACGGCUAACUACGUGCCAGCCGCCGCGGUAA